GACGAAUGUUGACGGCGUGCCUAAUCUAUGCAAGUCGAACGGUAAGGCCCUUCGGGGUACACGAGUGGCGAACGGGUGAGUAACACGUGGGUGAUCUGCCCUGCACUUCGGGAUAAGCCUGGGAAACUGGGUCUAAUACCGGAUAGGACCACUGCCUGCAUGGGUGGUGGUGGAAAGCUUUUGCGGUGUGGGAGGGGCCCGCGGCCUAUCAGCUUGUUGGUGGGGUGAUGGCCUACCAAGGCGACGACGGGUAGCCGGCCUGAGAGGGUGACCGGCCACACUGGGACUGAGAUACGGCCCAGACUCCUACGGGAGGCAGCAGUGGGGAGUAUUGCACAAUGGGCGCAAGCCUGAUGCAGCGACGCCGCGUGAGGGAUGACGGCCUUCGGGUUGUAAACCUCUUUCAGCACCGACGAAGCGCAAGUGACGGUAGGUGCAGAAGAAGGACCGGCCAACUACGUGCCAGCCGCCGCCGUAA
rnacentral:rRNA from 1 species